GCCCGGUUAGCUCAGCGGCAGAGCAUUCGACUGUUAAUCGAAGUGUCAUAGGUUCAAAUCCUAUACUGGGCGCCA
rnacentral:tRNA from 4 species